rnacentral:rRNA from 1 species
CAAUAGCGUAUAUUUAAGUUGUUGCAGUUAAAAAGCUCGUAGUUGGAUUUCGGAUGGGAUUUGCCGGUCCGUCGUUACGAUGUGCACUGGCCGGUCCUAUCUUGUUGUCGGGGACUAGCUCCUUGGAUUCACUUCCUGGGACUAGGAGCUGACGAGGUUACUUUGAGUAAAUUAGAGUGUUCAAAGCAAGCCUACGCUCUGAAUACAUUAGCAUGGAAUAACACGAUAGGACUCUGGCUUAUCUUGUUGGUCUGUGAGACCAGAGUAAUGAUUAAGAGGGACAGUCGGGGACAUUCGUAUUUCAUUGUCAGAGGUGAAAUUCUUGGAUUUAUGAAAGACGAACUUCUGCGAAAGCAUUUGUCAAGGAUGUUUUCAUUAA